rnacentral:misc_RNA from 1 species
CAGUUCUAUUAGCAGUUGUAUCCUGAGAAAAAUUUAGGAAAACAAAAACGAAAAGAUAAGUUGACAUAUUGAACAACGAUAAAACUCAGAAUGGAGCCUCAAGUAAUCAUGUAAUUAAAAGCUGCUUUAUACAAACUUCAAAUGUUUAACAAAAAGUAAACUAAUAGCAUAUUUCUAAGGAGUAAUACAAAUUAUUGAUUUCACAAAUAAAAACAAAAUCAAAUUUUUCAUCCUUCAUAAGAUUUGCAAAAAAGAAUCUACUUUCAUAAUUAGUUGGGGGUAAGUAGACUAAGGAACUAGCAUUUUCCGGGUAGUGCAAAAAAAUUCUCUCAUAUUUGAAUUGUAUUAUCAAACCAUCAUCCAGAGAAAUAGGAAGUACUUGCCUAGAAGACUUGGCAAGUUACACUUCUUAGUUAAGUGCAAUAUAAUUUACCAAUUUUUCUAUAUUAUGGACAUUAUUGUCUUUUAUAAUAUAGCAGGACAUUUUCUUCCAAACACAUUUAAUUUAUAUCAUAAUUUCCCUGAAAGUGUACUUCCAAGAAAGUAUUCUUCCCGGAAGAAGAUCAUUUGAACACCAAACGAGGCAGUGUAAAAACCACCAGAAAUACAAAGCCAGCUGCAAAAGAAUCGGACGCAUACCUCAACAAAACUAAUUCCAUUUG